GUGCUUGGCGAUUCAGAAUUGUUGAAGCGUCUACAAAGGUGAUUCGUGGAGGACCAAAGUGCCCACACCACUUUCAGAAAAUUACAGGAAAGACAUUUGAGCUAUCAAGUUUUACUUGCCUGCAAAUUACAGUUGGCUUCAAAUGCCUAUGAUU